rnacentral:lncRNA from 1 species
AAGGGCCACAGCCUCGGAACUCACUCCCUUUUGAGCACUAGGGAGAGGCACAAGCAGGCCUCAGCAGGUCCCUGUUGGCCCUCAUGUCUCCCCUACAGCACUGUCCUCAAGAGUACCUUCCCUCUCAAGACAGAAGAGCAAAUCCAGGAGCUGAUGGAGGCAGGGGGCUGGCAUCUCAGCAGCAGCAAUGCAGACUUGCUCAACUACCGCUCACUGUUUAUGGAGGAUGAGGAGGGCCAGAGUGAGCCCUUUGUGCAAAAACUCUGGGAACAAUACAUGGAUGAGAAGGACGAGUACUUACGGCAGCUAAAGCAGG